rnacentral:lncRNA from 13 species
AUGAAAUGCCACAGAAAGGUACAGCCAAGCAACAGCUGCCGUGUAGCCCGGCAGAGCCCCUGCUGCUGUUUCCAGAAUGGCUGUUUCACAGGCAGCUUUGUGAGUCCUGGGUCGCUGCUCGGGGACGGUGUGGACCUGAGGAGUCUGCUGCAGGAUGCCUUCUGGAACCCUCUCCUCAGAGUCCCGCCCAUGCCCAUUCCUCCUACACCCAUGCCCACUCCUCCUGUACCCCAUGCCCACUCCUCCUGCACCCCGUGCCCACUUCUGCACCCAUGCCCACUCCUCCUGUACCCCAUGCCCACUCCUCCUGUACCCCAUGCCCACUCCUCCUGCACCCAUGCCCACUCCUGCACCCCAUGCCCACUCUUCCUGCACCCCAUGCCCACUCCUGCACCCAUACCCACACCUGCACCCAUGCCCACACCUGCACCCAUGCCCACACCUGCACCCAUGCCCACUCCUGCACCCAUGCCCACACCUCCUGCACCCAUGCCCACUUCUCCUGCACCCAUGCCCACACCUCCUGCACCCAUGCCCACACCUCCUGCACCCAUGCCUACACCUCCUGCACCCAUGCCCAUACCUCCUGCACCCCAUGCCCACUCCUCCCGCACCCAUGCCCACACCUCCUGCACCCCAUGCCCACUCCUGCACCCCAUGCCCACUCCUCCUGCACCCAUGCCCACUCUUCCUGCACCCAUGCCCACAUCUCCUGCACCCAUGCCCACACCUGCACCCAUGCCCACUCCUCCUGCACCCCACAGCCGCUCCUGCACCCCACAUGCCCACUCCUGCACCCCCCAUGCCCACUCCUUCUGUGCCCCUCAUGCCCACUCCUCCUGCAGCCCAGGUUCAUACCUCCUGCACCCAGGCCCAACCUCCUGCACCCAGGCCCAGACCUCCUGCACCCCAUGCCCACUCCACCUGCACCCAGGCCCACACCUCCUGCACCCAGGCCCAUGCCUCCUGCACCCCCUGCUUGCACUGUGCUGUCCUCCCUGGAAGGUGGGAAACCCAAGGUGGGGUGCCUACCAGCCCAGUCUGGCACAGAGAUGGAGCGAACUAGAGCCUGGCGAGAGCUGUGCACUGUUUGCAGGGGUUCCUGGGUGCCACUCUGUUAAAGCUGGGGUUGGCUGGUCACAGGGGCAACCCCUCUGUUUCUUCCCACCAAGGCACGACCUGUCCGUGGGCAGCAGCUUCCAUCAGUAG